UACGUAGGUGGCAAGCGUUGUCCGGAAUUAUUGGGCGUAAAGCGCGCGCAGGCGGUCCUUUAAGUCUGAUGUGAAAGCCCACGGCUCAACCGUGGAGGGUCAUUGGAAACUGGGGGACUUGAGUACAGAAGAGAAGAGUGGAAUUCCACGUGUAGCGGUGAAAUGCGUAGAGAUGUGGAGGAACACCAGUGGCGAAGGCGACUCUUUGGUCUGUAACUGACGCUGAGGCGCGCAAGCGUGGGGAGCAAACAGG
rnacentral:rRNA from 1 species